rnacentral:lncRNA from 1 species
AUGCCCGUCUUCCUCUACUUUUUUUUUAUAUAUGGGACGCUUGCCACAGCAUGGCUUGAUAAGUGGUGCAUAGCUCCAUGCCCAGGAUGCAAAUCAGCAAACCCCAGGUCGCUGAAGCUGAGUGGGCAAACCCAACUGCUACGCCACCAGGACAGCCCCCCAAUCUACUAUUUUGUUCAUUCAGAUAGAUGUUUUUGUGAAAUUUCAGUUCAAUUAUUUUUCCCAUUUUUUUUCAUUGUGUUCUUUAAGUUUUCUGUACUCAUAUUUUGGAUAAGUGCUAACAUCUUCCCAGGAAAAGAUCUAAUUUUUUUCAGUAUUGCAGAAGAGGAAGGAGGAGGAGGAAGAAAGGAGAAAAGGAAGGAAGGGAGGAAGGAAGGAAGAAGGAGAGGAAAGAAGAGAAAAUCACUGCCAAUAACUCUAUUCUGCAUGAAAGGAAGUGAGUCUUGGAAGACGUCCCAUGCAGCCAGCCACAUCAGGUCUGAACGCUGGAUCCUUCCUACACUGCGGGCCUUACAGUGUUCUGCAGGCUGUUCCUGUUCUCAACUAGCUAUUCUCAACCAAUGCCAGGAAUUGAAGAGGGAUAGUGGUUAUCUGCAUUUCUUUUUAUUCUGUUCUUAUUGCCUUUGUUCGUAAAGAUGAGAAAUAUCACAAAGUUAAACAUUUUAACUGUAUAUUUUCUGUUUCUCCAGUUUAAAAUAAAAU